AAACUGAAGAGUUUGAUCAUGGCUCAGAUUGAACGCUGGCGGCAGGCCUAACACAUGCAAGUCGAGCGGUAACAGAGAAUAGCUUGCUAUU
rfam:Oceanospirillum linum strain ATCC 11336 NODE_1_length_1127340_cov_774.617, whole genome shotgun sequence.